GGCGGACGGGUGAGUAACACGUAAGAAUUUGCCUUUAGGAGGGGGAUAACAACUGGAAACGGUUGCUAAUACCCCAUAUGCUUUCGGGUGAAAUGGAUUUCCGCCUAAAGAGAAGCUUGCGGCUGAUUAGCUUGUUGGUGAGGUAAUGGCUCACCAAGGCGACGAUCAGUAUCUGGUUUGAGAGGAUGAUCAGACACACUGGAACUGAGACACGGUCCAGACUCCUACGGGAGGCAGCAGUGGGGAAUUUUCCGCAAUGGGCGAAAGCCUGACGGAGCAAUACCGCGUGAGGGAUGACGGCCUAUGGGUUGUAAACCUCUUUUUUCAGGGAGGAAUCAAUGACGUGUACCUGAAGAAUAAGCAUCGGCUAACUCCGUGCCAGCAGCCGCGGUAAGACGGAGGAUGCAAGUGUUAUCCGGAAUCACUGGGCGUAAAGCGUCUGUAGGUGGUCCAAUAAGUCAACUGUUAAAUCUUGAGGCUCAACCUCAAAAUCGCAGUCGAAACUGUUAGACUAGAGUAUAGUAGGGGUAAAGGGAAUUUC
rnacentral:rRNA from 1 species